UACAGAGGUCCCAAGCGUUGUUCGGAUUCACUGGGCGUAAAGGGCGCGUAGGCGGUCUGUUGCGUCGGCUGUGAAAACCCGGGGCUCAACCCCGGGCCUGCAGCCGGUACGGGCAGACUAGAGUUCGGCAGGGGAGACUGGAAUUCCUGGUGUAGCGGUGAAAUGCGCAGAUAUCAGGAGGAACACCGGUGGCGAAGGCGGGUCUCUGGGCCGAUACUGACGCUGAGGAGCGAAAGCGUGGGGAGCGAACAGG
rnacentral:rRNA from 1 species